rnacentral:rRNA from 1 species
GACGGAGGGUGCAAGCGUUGCUCGGAAUAAUUGGGCAUAAAGGGUAGGUAGGUGGUUUGAAAAGUCUGGGGUGAAAGCCUAGAGCUUAACUCAAGAAGGGCCUCAGAAACAUUCAGACUAGAGUUCUGGAGAGGGUCGUAGAAUUCCCGGUGGAGCGGUGAAAUGCGUAGAGAUCGGGAGGAAUACCAGAGGCGAAGGCGACGACCUGGAAAGAAACUGACACUGAACUACGAAAGCGUGGGGAGCAAACAGG